CUUUUAUUUUUUAGUCCUUUUUGCAGAUUUUUAGUGCAUAAACAUUCUAACCCUAGUUAUAACAAACCCUUAUUUAGAGAACUCCUCUACCUGUGACACGGUUGCCCAAAACGAUAAAUAAUAUUUGAAAUUUACCUUUUUUUUAUUUAUUACAUUUACUGUCAAAUUAUGGUUUAGAAAUAAUUAAAAUCAACUGUACUUUUAAAAUUAAUUUAUGUAUCAUACCUCAAUAACUUCUCACAUACAACAAUAAGUGCACCAGUCAUCAGCAGUCUUCAGCCUUUUUUUUUCGCGGAAAACGUUUUAGUUGAUGAUGUUUACAGUGUUUAUUAAUAGUAUCAUUUGUUUGUUUACUAAUAACUGCAGCCAUAAAAUAAUAACCAUCCAGGAUCUCACCGAUUCCCCUCCCUCCCCGUUAUAUUUGCCCACUUACGUUAAUUAUUAAUAUAUUAUUAAUUCAUGGGCAUAUUUACGGGGGGAUACAGGGGAUAGAUUCCAUGGACUUUUUAUUUUGUUUUUUAGCGACGAUUAACAGGUAUUAAAGUAUCGCUAUCUAUAUUGUUAUUUCAGCAAUUGUCAUUUUUACUCGUUAUCAUUUUUCGGUUCCACAAUGGUAGGCAUAUUACCAAAACGUACAUAAUGGCCUCGGUACUGUGUGUAAAAUAUCAUUGGCUAAUUUAAAAUGGGC